rnacentral:lncRNA from 10 species
AAACUGGAGGUUAAGAUGGCCACUUGGACACCUGGGGCUCCUCCUACCUUUAAGUUAACAGGCUAAGAAGGGAGUUGCAGUGUUGGCUGGGGUGAUUGACCAGGACUAUCAAGAUGAAAUCAGUCUACUACUCCACAACUGAGCCACAGGGCCAAGCACGCAACUCGCCAUUUGCUUCAGGAGAUCCAGAUGUUCACCUUAUUUGGAUGUGUACCAGGAAUUGGAUUGCAUAGAGACAGAUCAAUAAGAAAGGUUGAAAAUACACAAAGUCAUCUCAUCACAUGAAGAAGAUCACAUUAGAUUUAGACGACGCUAGAGACUGAAAAGUGAAGACAGAAGACUGAGGACGAUUAUGAAGAGGAGUCAUGAAGAAAUAAGAGAAUAAAGACACACUGGAGUAGGGUUGAACACUCAAGGCUCCAGGGGACCAUGCCCUCAUGAUUUUGCUUGGCACAGCCCAAUCUGCAGCUCUUGGAAGUUGGAGUCA